rnacentral:rRNA from 1 species
AACGCGAAGAACCUUACCUGGGCUCGAAAUGCAAUAGAUCGCUACAGAGAUGUAGCUUCCGCAAGGCUGUUAUAUAGGUGCUGCAUGGCUGUCGUCAGCUCGUGUCGUGAGAUGUUGGGUUAAGUCCCGCAACGAGCGCAACCCUUAUCUUCAGUUGCUACCAUUUAGUUGAGCACUCUGACGAAACCGCCUCGGAUAACGGGGAGGAAGGUGGGGAUGACGUCAAGUCCUCAUGGCCUUUAUGUCCAGGGCUACACACGUGCUACAAUGGCCGGUACAAACCGCUGCAAACCCGCGAGGGGGAGCUAAUCGGAAAAAGCCGGCCUCAGUUCGGAUUGGAGUCUGCAACUCGACUCCAUGAAGCUGGAAUCGCUAGUAAUCGUGGAUCAGCAUGCCACGGUGAAUACGUUCCCGGGCCUUGUACACACCGCGCAUA